CCUACGGGAGGCUGCAGUGAGGAAUAUUGGUCAAUGGACGGAAGUCUGAACCAGCCAUGCCGCGUGCAGGAAGACGGCUCUAUGAGUUGUAAACUGCUUUUGUACAAGGGUAAACCUGAAUACGUGUAUUUAGCUGAAAGUACUGUACGAAUAAGGAUCGGCUAACUCCGUGCCAGCAGCCGCGGUAAUACGGAGGAUCCAAGCGUUAUCCGGAUUUAUUGGGUUUAAAGGGUGCGUAGGCGGUUGGAUAAGUUAGAGGUGAAAUGUCCGAGCUUAACUCGGGAACUGCCUCUAAUACUGUUGGGCUAGAGAGUAGAUGCGGUAGGCGGAAUGUAUGGUGUAGCGGUGAAAUGCUUAGAGAUCAUACAGAACACCGAUUGCGAAGGCAGCUUACCAAGCUAUAUCUGACGUUGAGGCACGAAAGCGUGGGGAGCAAACAGGAUUAGAUACCCCAGUAGUC
rnacentral:rRNA from 1 species